UGUAAGAGUGAGCCUGCUCGCGAUAGCGGUGUGUCAGCCAACAAUAUAUCGACUGACGAACCGCCAUCGCGAGCAGGCUCACUCCUACA
rnacentral:misc_RNA from 1 species